rnacentral:tmRNA from 1 species
GGGGGCGUAUUUGGGAUUCGACGAGGAUAUUUGAGGCGAGAGAAGCGAGCUGCGGAUCUGGGGCCGCAUUAACAACCUAGAACUUAAAAUUAAACGCAGAUAACGAAAGUUACGCUUUAGCUGCUGCUUAAUAAAGCCAGCUACGUCCACCCCAAAGUACCCACUCUUUAGGGAUUGGAUGUCAAACUAGUGGGGAACGAACCUGCCUAAGCUUUGCGGCAGGCCGGAAUCUAUGAAGCUAGCGUAGCAUGGAUCCUGUUGCUGGGAGCCAUGUGAGGCGAAUCAAAAAAACAGCAACUGCGCUCGGAGAUGCUCUUGCCGAGAUAUCUUCGGACAGGGGUUCGACUCCCCUCGCCUCCACCA